rnacentral:lncRNA from 1 species
GGAAUUUUGGGUCCUCAAUGCUCUUCAACUUUGUAUUUAUUUGACUUUUUUAACUAUUUUGAUGUGAGCGUCACUGAUGAGUCUUAUGUAGACGAAACGCGCGUCUGGCGUAUAAAAUUAUAAUCCUGGUACUUUUGAUAACUAUUUACACCACUGGGUCGAUGCCACUGCUGGUGGACGUUUCGUCCCCGAGGGUAUCACAAGCCCAGUAGUCAGCACUUCGGUGUUGACAUGAAUAUCAAUUAU